AGUGCUGAUCCAGAUGUUUGAAAAAGAAAUGGAAUGAUGGGUCCAAGCUCAUACAUAAUGAUAACAGAAACGGAACAGGGGAAUCAUCAGCGCGCAAUACGGCGCGCAGACCGGAUAAAGAUCGGGAAAUGGUUCAUCUUCAUCGGAAACCAACAAAAAAAAAAAAAACCUCCUAUAAAGGAACGGUCAAAAUUCAUUCCACCUUGCCACGUAUACUUUUUUGCACCAGAACGCCGCGCACGAAUCACGAUCCCUUACCACGUGUCGAUAGACUACUGGAUAAUCGCACGUGACUGUUACCGCACUGGGAGUGGAAGGAAAUGGAAUCACCCUUGCUUUCAGUUAGUAAAAAGUAUGUGCACCAAACCCACCCACCCCAUCCCCACCAUCUUUUUAUGAUUUUGUCUCUUUUGUUUGUUACUUCGUCAUCUGUCUCUGUCUCUCAACUUUCUUUCUCAUUCUCUUUUAUCUCCAACCAAACACAUGAAAAAUCUCUUCGAAUUCUCUGAUUUGGAUAAGGCAGCUAGGGUUUCGAUGGAGGAAGGUGGAGAAAGAAUUAACGCAGCGAAAGGAGAUGGAGAUACUAGGGUUUCGAAUUUCUGUUAGUGGUGCUGUUUUUUGUGGAAGUGUUGAAGAAGAACAAGAGGAGGAGAUGACAAUUAAGUGCGAAGCUCAAGAAAGCCGUGGGAAAACAUGAAAGGGUUUUGUUAUAAGUAUUUUGUUUGCCUUCUUCACGAGGUAAGUCACACAUACUUCUCAUCUUCUUCUGAACUUUAAUUCUAUCUAAACCUCGGUAUAUAUAUGUAUAUAAAGACUUUUUUUUUUAAAAUUUUAUCAUCGAUCUGUCCUUGAAAAUGGAAUCUAGAGAGGAAAUUCAUCAUGAGUGUGGUGUUUUUAUUCAGAUUUACUGUGCUAAAAACUCCAUUUAACAGAAAUCAAUUUUUCUAUUCAUGGAUUCAUCUUUAUCUCAAUUUUCUUUGUGAUACACAUAAUAUCUUUAUUUUUGAGGAGGUUUUAACUUCAUUUUCAGUACUCCUUGAAAGUCAAAAAACAUCUACAGAUAUGUGUCUAAAUUGAAGAACAUACUGUUGGUUGCGCACAUGUGGUGUUACUAGUAAUGUUGCUUGUUUUUGUUGCGGGACAAGGGGGGAAGGUGAAUACCCGUAUUUGUCUGUCCAUGAACGGCCAAUUUGUCAGGUUUUGCCGGCUUUCUUUUUGGAGUAAAAUGUAAGGUAGAAGAGUGAGUUUAAGAGAUUAAGCUUAUAGAGCUAGAUAAUAAGAUAUUCUAAAUUUUUUACUCUGCAAUUUUACUGGACCACCAUCCCCAUUCCCCCAGUCAUAAUUUGCAGGAAACUUUCUGAUCGAUAGUUCAUGAUGCCCGUUUUCAACACCAGGAGAUUAAACUUUGAAGGUUUCAAAGAGCUUACAUAGAGAGAGAACUUGAAUUUGGAAUUUAGGCAGUAAUUAGAAGUUUCUCUUUUUAUUUAUAGAAGGGAACAAAUUUCAGUAAGAAAUUCUAAGCGUCUUCAGUAUUUGUAAGCUUUAAGGAGGACUUUUGAUUAAUACACUGGCUUUUAUGUUUUCA